UACGGAGGGUGCGAGCGUUAAUCGGAAUUACUGGGCGUAAAGCGCACGUAGGUGGCUUGGCAAGUCGGGUGUGAAAUCCCCAGGCUCAACCUGGGAACUGCGUUUGAAACUGCCGGUCUUGAGUAUCGGAGAGGGUGGCGGAAUUCCUGGUGUAGAGGUGAAAUUCGUAGAUAUCAGGAGGAACACCGGUGGCGAAGGCGGCCACCUGGACGAUUACUGACGCUGAGACGCGAAAGCGUGGGGAGCAAACAGG
rnacentral:rRNA from 1 species